rnacentral:rRNA from 1 species
GCUUACGGCCAUACCACCCUGAGCACGCCCGAUCUCGGCUGAUCUCGGAAGCUAAGCAGGGUCGGGCCUGGUUAGUACUUGGAUGGGAGACUGCCUAGGAAUACCAGGUGCUGUAAGCC